UACGUAGGGUGCGAGCGUUGUCCGGAAUUAUUGGGCGUAAAGGGCUCGUAGGCGGUUUGUCGCGUCGGGAGUGAAAUCCACUGGCUUAACUGGUGGCUUGCUUUCGAUACGGGCAGACUGGAGGUAUGCAGGGGAGAACGGAAUUCCUGGUGUAGCGGUGAAAUGCGCAGAUAUCAGGAGGAACACCGGUGGCGAAGGCGGAUCUCUGGGCCAUAACUGACGCUGAGGAGCGAAAGCAUGGGGAGCGAACAGG
rnacentral:rRNA from 1 species